rnacentral:ncRNA from 1 species
UUCAGGGGAGCUAAUUAGCUGAGAGGAGAUUUAAAUCUCGACCCUUUAAACCUGUUUGGAUAAUGCCAUCGUAGGGAGAUUAAGUA